rnacentral:rRNA from 1 species
GGUAACCUGCCUUAUAGUGGGGGAUAGCCUUUCGAAAGGAAGAUUAAUACCGCAUAAGAUUGUAGUAUCGCAUGAUAUAGCAAUUAAAGGAGCAAUUCGCUAUAAGAUGGACCCGCGUCGCAUUAGCUAGUUGGUGAGGUAAUGGCUCACCAAGGCGACGAUGCGUAGCCGACCUGAGAGGGUGAUCGGCCACAUUGGAACUGAGACACGGCCCAGACUCCUACGGGAGGCAGCAUG